rnacentral:lncRNA from 1 species
UUGUAGAACUUUCAUCAUCUUCUUCAUCGAUAUCAUCUUUAUUAAUUCCAAUAACGCUUUCAAUAAUUUCUUCAUCAGUCAACAACUGUGCAACUACAUUUUCUUCUGGGUGAGUCAGAACAUCUUCGACAUCCAUUGCAUUGCGAUAACCCAACUCUUUGAUCAAAUUCUGGAGUUCUUGAGUGCUUUCACCACCUUCAUCUGAGUUCUCAAAAGUCAUGUUAUCUGUUGAUCGAAGUUUACAAUGACGAAAGCAACUUCUAUAAAAUCGACGACGAUAAUGCAUCUUAAAAGCUCGUAUGAUCCCCGCGUCAUAAGGUUGAAUUUUUGA